GCUAGUAUAGCUCAAUUGGUAGAGCAGCUGAUUUGUAAUCAGCAGGUUAUGGGUUCGAGUCCCUUUACUAGCU
rnacentral:tRNA from 1 species